rfam:Citrus clementina cultivar Clemenules unplaced genomic scaffold scaffold_5, whole genome shotgun sequence.
AUCCCAGAUAAUGGUUUAUGUGAUUAUUCUGAUUCAUGGGAGGCAAAGAACAAAUAAAAAUGGGAGUUCGCUGAUAGUACCUUUUUGUCUUCUAAAAGGUGUUCUAAUAGUGCCUCACCAUACAUAU